UGCUUUGCAGUGCACGGUCACUUCACCUCCGGCUGCCCCAAACGUUUGUCCGCGAGACGCAGGGCAUGCACGACACUUGCACUGGGAAUGCUCCCAGGCCCGACAUACAUGUCCUAUAACUGCCUUGGCGCAGCUGGCAAGCCAGCAAGGGGACAUGUUGGAACACAGACCGGCGUGAGACGGGCGGUGCUGUAGGAUCGCAAACGUCCUGUCUCCCAUGGGUUUGCACUCGUUGGACCUCUUUCCUGCCCGUCCGGCGGCCUCAGCUCUCAUUUGCAUUGUGAGUUGGCUUGGAUCUGCUGGGAGGAGCAGCUCCUUCCCGGAGCCCCCGAAAGGCCGGUGGGCUGGGCUCCUGCAAGUGAGCACCGGGGUCUUUUGGCUGCUGAGCGAUGCUCUCGUUCCACUCACGAACGCGCGCAGAGCCGGGGCGACAAGCGACAGGACCCACCGACGUGCCUGACGCAAGACCCUAUCCCCGGGCAGCUGGGAGGGUUGCAAUUGCAAUCCCACUGGUUUCCACGCUGUGUUCAAGCUGGACUUGCGGCAGCUCCUGGAGACUUCUGGCACCAGCCAACUCCCUCUUGGCAGCACUCCUCCCCGCUCCGGGGCUGUGCUGUUUGCUUAUCUAGUGCCGUGAUUUAACACAGACGCAGGAACUCACACACUCUCUCCCAGUCUCCUUCAAAUUACUUUAUUGC